rnacentral:rRNA from 1 species
AAGGUCGUGCCAAGCAGCGAUAUGCUUCGGGGAGGCGCAUGGAACCUUUGAUCCGAAGAUUGCCGAAUGGGACUUCCCAGACCUAAGUCUAAUCCUUCACAGGAUGGGGAACGCCCCGAAUUGAAACAUCUUAGUAGGGGCAGGAAAAGAAAUCAAAUGAGAUGGGGUAAGUAAAGGCGAUCGAACACCCCUUUACGGGCAAACCGAAUCCCGCAUUGAGAAUUGCGGGAAAUGUGGAUGGCCCGGUUACGUCCUAACUCUCAUAUCCGAAGUUCGUGUGGAACGCCGGUGCCAGAGAGGGUGACAGCCCCGUAGGAGAAAGAGAGCAGGACGAUUUCCGGGACCCAAGAGUAGCGUGCGUUGGAUAUCGCGCGUGAAGACGGGAGGUACUAACUUCCAACCCUGAAUACAGACCGAGACCGAUAGCGUACUAGUAGCGUGAGCGAAAGUUGUAAAGCAUCCCUAGCGGGAGAAUAGAAAGACCCUGAAAUCAGGUGGUUACAGACUGAUACGGCGUGCAAGGGAAGAGGCGGUAACACCACUGCUGACCGGCGUCGUAUCGUCCGAUUCGAAAAUUGGCCCAUGGAGUUUCUUUCACUGGCAAGGUUAAGCACGUAAGUGCGAAGCCGCAGGGAAACCGACAGUCCGCAGCAUUGCAAGGGACGGCGUGUGCUCGCGCGGAGUCAGUGGAUGGAUACCCGAAGCCGGUCGAUCUAUGCCUGGGCAGGGUGAAGCCUUUCGGAAGAAGGGUGGAGGCCCGCACCAGUACUGAUGUGCAAAUCGUUUGGAUGACCUGGGUAUAGGGGCGAAAGACCAAUCUAGACCGGUAAUAGCUGGUUCCUCUCGAAACUGCUCGCAGGCAGACCUCAGCUGAGACGGGGCAUGCGGUAGAGCACUGAUUGCGUGUUUAGGAAGCGAAAGUUUUCGGCAUGCUGUCAAACUCCGAAUGUGUGUCCGUUGUAGAAGCUGGGCAGUGAGGGCAUCGGGGUAAGCUUGAUGUCCAUAAGGAAAACAAACCAGACCAAAGUUAAGGUCCCUAAGUAACAGCUAAGUGUUAAAGAACAAAUAGUGUUUGAAGGCAUAGACAGCUGGAAGGUUGGCUUAGAGGCAGCCAUCCUUUAAAGAGUUCGUAACAGAUCACCAGUCAAGUCUCUGAGCCUAGAAAAUGGACGGGACUAAGUUGUUCACCGAUACUUUGGGCCACCGAAAGGUGAUGCGGUAGAGAGGCGUCGUGCGCGGGUGGAAGUGGGGCCGUGAGGUCCUGUGGACCGCGUUCGAAUGAUAAUCAUGGAAAUAGUAGUAGCGUAGAUGGGUGAGAAUCCCAUCCGCCGGAGGGGCUAGGGUUCCUC